GCUGGGCAUGGUGGUGCACGCCUGUAAUCCCAGAGGCUAUGGAGGCUGAGGCAGGAGGAUUGAGAGUUCAAAGCUAGCCUUAGCAAAAGCUAGGUUCUAAGCAACUCAGUGAGAUCCUGUCUCUA
rnacentral:sRNA from 1 species